GUCGUCCUCAGACCGAAUUCUGCACCGAAUCCUCCCGAUAAUAACAUCCAAACCUGCCUGGGAGUCGAAUUUACGGCGGCAUCAAGUUACCUGAUUUACUGGGGAGCAGCGCUUCCGGAGUUGGCCACCAAAAUAAAGGUGGACGUGAAGCGCAGGACAGCUGCCCACCGCCAAAGUGUGGCCAAAGCAGGCGGAGGAACCGGCGCGGAGGGCCUCACCCCGUUCGAGGAGAGAGUGGCUGCAAUCAUGGGUGAGUGACACUGCUCUCACAUGCGGCUGACUCCGAUUACCCCACAAGAGGAGAGGUCACGCAUGGAUUCGUCCACUGCUCUUGGCGUCACAGAUGUGGAGGAUUCGUCCACCGUUCCUGCCGUCUCCGACGCUCUGCUGCUGCCCGUCCGCCUGGCCCUGUCCUCGCCCGUGCACACUUAUAGUCUCUCAAAUUAACUUAAUUUGAACAUGCACGUCGGUUGCACAUGAACAAAAUGUGUUAAAAUGACACUAUUUACCCCUCGUCUCCAAAAACAUUUCAAAAUCAUUUUAAUCAUGUGCAACCUAUGUACAUGUUCAAAUUAGGUAAAUUCAAAGGACUAUUUUUUUCCCCAGUGCAUGUGCUGGAGUCAGAACAGUGUGAGGGAAAUAGGCGGCAUAAAUGAUCGCCUUGAGGUGUCCUCACAAAUAUCAGUGAUUCAUUAAAUACACUGGUUAACAAGUGAAUUCUGAGUCCUUGCAUCUAUUACAUGGUUGAAAUCAAAUGUUGUCGGGCAUUAAUUGUUCAUCAUUCUAAUUGUUCAUGUGUCUCUGAUGUGCAGAUUUAUUCUAAGUUUCCCAACAUCACCUCUGUCGCCAAAGCACCAACAGCCGCAGCAAUGUGCGUGUGCCAGCCAUGAAGUUGACGUGAGGCACCGCACAUUUCCACGCUCAUUUCACUCUUGAUACAUCUGAACUUUGCCGUGAAAAAGAACGUACGCUACGUUUUUGUUCGUACGCACCUUUUGUACAUGAGGCCCCAGGUUUUAUUUUGUAUCAAUUAAUGCUUUAAUAUCUCUGUUCUUUUACACAUUUCUUGAAAUGUAUUUUCCUGAAAUCAAUUAAAAAAAACUUUUUUUUAAAAUGUGAUUCACAGGCUCAUUUUUAUCUAAUGUAUAUUACAGUAUAUAUGGAUAUUUCAAUUGUGUACCCUACACUCAAAACAUAUUGUGCUUCUUGUCUAUGCCUGGACCUUGAGUCUAUAAAAAUAAGGCAACAAAACGACUUCUCUUGAUACAUGUUAAUGGUCCGCAUUCACAAAAAGUAUUAAUGUUGGAUGAACUUAAUUGUUUUGCUUUUUAUGUUUUGAGUGUGUUAUUGCUAAACCAGUUGUUUGUGUCAUGUUUUUCUGUAGGACUGACAAUCCCGUUAUGUGAUGGGUGACCAAUUCAGGGAGAAGGAAUCAGCUGGCAUAGGCUACAGCUCACCUACGCUCUAAUGAGCGCAAAUGGAUGGAUGGACUUUAUUAGUGAUUCCAAACCAAUGAGCUUAUUGGGGGUGCCGUAGGAAAUUAUCCUCUUUCACUUAAUUGGUCUGAUAAUUAUUUCUUUACCACAAACAAUGUGUCUUUACAGCAUAUCAUUAAAUUGAUUUGGUGCUGCCCAGGUGCUGAAACCGAUGACUGGGUUUGUAAUAAAACAGAAAAAGACAAGUGACUGGCGUGAAAACCAGUGUGAUAUAUGAUUUCUGAAAACCUCAAUCAGGAGAAAGAGGAAAUACCACAAAAACCAGACGAUUACCUUUAUCGUACUGAAAUGCAGGCCUCAUUUCAUACCGUCUUUUAAAUGAUAAUAGUGCCCUCUGCAUGUUCAUUUAAUCAUUUU